AGAGUUUGAUCCUGGCUCAGGACGAACGCUGGCGGCACGCUUAACACAUGCAAGUCGAACGAGAGAAGAGGAGCUUGCUUUUCUGAUCUAGUGGCGGACGGGUGAGUAACACGUGAGCAAUCUGCCUUUCAGAGGGGGAUACCGAUUGGAAACGAUCGUUAAUACCGCAUAACAUAAUUGAACCGCAUGAUUUGAUUAUCAAAGAUUUAUCGCUGAAAGAUGAGCUCGCGUCUGAUUAGCUAGUUGGUAAGGUAACGGCUUACCAAGGCGACGAUCAGUAGCCGGACUGAGAGGUUGAUCGGCCACAUUGGGACUGAGACACGGCCCAGACUCCUACGGGAGGCAGCAGUGGGGAAUAUUGCACAAUGGAGGAAACUCUGAUGCAGCGAUGCCGCGUGAGGGAAGAAGGUUUUAGGAUUGUAAACCUCUGUCUUCAGGGACGAAAAAAGACGGUACCUGAGGAGGAAGCUCCGGCUAACUACGUGCCAGCAGCCGCGGUAAUACGUAGGGAGCGAGCGUUGUCCGGAAUUACUGGGUGUAAAGGGAGCGUAGGCGGGAUCGCAAGUCAGAUGUGAAAACUAUGGGCUUAACCCAUAAACUGCAUUUGAAACUGUGGUUCUUGAGUGAAGUAGAGGUAAGCGGAAUUCCUAGUGUAGCGGUGAAAUGCGUAGAUAUUAGGAGGAACAUCAGUGGCGAAGGCGGCUUACUGGGCUUUAACUGACGCUGAGGCUCGAAAGCGUGGGGAGCAAACAGGAUUAGAUACCCUGGUAGUCCACGCCGUAAACGAUGAUUACUAGGUGUGGGGGGACUGACCCCUUCCGUGCCGCAGCAAACGCAAUAAGUAAUCCACCUGGGGAGUACGACCGCAAGGUUGAAACUCAAAGGAAUUGACGGGGGCCCGCACAAGCAGUGGAGUAUGUGGAUUAAUUCGAAGCAACGCGAAGAACCUUACCAGGUCUUGACAUCGUAUGCAUAGCUCAGAGAUGAGUGAAAUCUCUUCGGAGACAUAUAGACAGGUGGUGCAUGGUUGUCGUCAGCUCGUGUCGUGAGAUGUUGGGUUAAGUCCCGCAACGAGCGCAACCCUUACUGUUAGUUGCUACGCAAGAGCACUCUAGCAGGACUGCCGUUGACAAAACGGAGGAAGGUGGGGAUGACGUCAAAUCAUCAUGCCCCUUAUGACCUGGGCCUCACACGUACUACAAUGGCUGUCAACAGAGGGAAGCAAAGCCGCGAGGUGGAGCGAACCCCUAAAAGCAGUCUUAGUUCGGAUUGUAGGCUGCAACCCGCCUACAUGAAGUCGGAAUUGCUAGUAAUCGCAGAUCAGCAUGCUGCGGUGAAUACGUUCCCGGGCCUUGUACACACCGCCCGUCACGCCAUGGGAGUCGGUAACACCCGAAGCCUGUAGUCUAACCGCAAGGAGGACGCAGUCGAAGGUGGGAUUGAUGACUGGGGUGAAGUCGAACAAGGUA
rnacentral:rRNA from 1 species